rnacentral:rRNA from 1 species
CACUAUCGUUAACUGAAUACAUAGGUUAACGAGGCGAACCGGGGGAACUGAAACAUCUAAGUACCCCGAGGAAAAGAAAUCAACCGAGAUUCCCCCAGUAGCGGCGAGCGAACGGGGAGCAGCCCAGAGUCUGAAUCAGCUUGUGUGUUAGUGGAACGGUCUGGAAAGUCCGACGGUACAGGGUGAUAGUCCCGUACACCAAAAUGCACAGGUUGUGAACUCGAAGAGUAGGGCGGGACACGUGGUAUCCUGUCUGAAUAUGGGGGGACCAUCCUCCAAGGCUAAAUACUCCUGACUGACCGAUAGUGAACCAGUACCGUGAGGGAAAGGCGAAAAGAACCCCGGCGAGGGGAGUGAAAAAGAACCUGAAACCGUGUACGUACAAGCAGUGGGAGCACCUUCGGGUGUGACUGCGUACCUUUUGUAUAAUGGGUCAGCGACUUAUAUUCUGUAGCAAGGUUAACCGUAUAGGGGAGCCGCAGGGAAACCGAGUCUUAACUGGGCGUUAAGUUGCAGGGUAUAGACCCGAAACCCGGUGAUCUAGCCAUGGGCAGGUUGAAGGUUGGGUAACACUAACUGGAGGACCGAACCGACUAAUGUUGAAAAAUUAGCGGAUGACUUGUGGCUGGGGGUGAAAGGCCAAUCAAACCGGGAGAUAGCUGGUUCUCCCCGAAAGCUAUUUAGGUAGCGCCUCGUGAAUUCAUCUUCGGGGGUAGAGCACUGUUUCGGCUAGGGGGUCAUCCCGACUUACCAACCCGAUGCAAACUACGAAUACCGAAGAAUGUUAUCACGGGAGACACACGGCGGGUGCUAACGUCCGUCGUGAAGAGGGAAACAACCCAGACCGCCAGCUAAGGUCCCAAAGUCAUGGUUAAGUGGGAAACGAUGUGGGAAGGCACAGACAGCCAGGAUGUUGGCUUAGAAGCAGCCAUCAUUUAAAGAAAGCGUAAUAGCUCACUGGUCGAGUCGGCCUGCGCGGAAGAUGUAACGGGGCUAAACCAUGCACCGAAGCUGCGGCAGCGACACUAUGUGUUGUUGGGUAGGGGAGCGUUCUGUAAGCCUGCGAAGGUGACCUGUGAGGGUUGCUGGAGGUAUCAGAAGUGCGAAUGCUGACAUAAGUAACGAUAAAGCGGGUGAAAAGCCCGCUCGCCGGAAGACCAAGGGUUCCUGUCCAACGUUAAUCGGGGCAGGGUGAGUCGACCCCUAAGGCGAGGCCGAAAGGCGUAGUCGAUGGGAAACAGGUUAAUAUUCCUGUACUUGGUGUUACUGCGAAGGGGGGACGGAGAAGGCUAUGUUAGCCGGGCGACGGUUGUCCCGGUUUAAGCAUGUAGGCUGAUUAUCCAGGCAAAUCCGGAUAAUCAAGGCUGAGGUGUGAUGACGAGGCACUACGGUGCUGAAGUAACAAAUGCCCUGCUUCCAGGAAAAGCCUCUAAGCAUCAGGUAACAUCAAAUCGUACCCCAAACCGACACAGGUGGUCAGGUAGAGAAUACCAAGGCGCUUGAGAGAACUCGGGUGAAGGAACUAGGCAAAAUGGUGCCGUAACUUCGGGAGAAGGCACGCUGGUGUGUAGGUGAAGUCCCUGCGGAUGGAGCUGAGACCAGUCGAAGAUACCAGCUGGCUGCAACUGUUUAUUAAAAACACAGCACUGUGCAAACACGAAAGUGGACGUAUACGGUGUGACGCCUGCCCGGUGCCGGAAGGUUAAUUGAUGGGGUUAUCCGUAAGGAGAAGCUCUUGAUCGAAGCCCCGGUAAACGGCGGCCGUAACUAUAACGGUCCUAAGGUAGCGAAAUUCCUUGUCGGGUAAGUUCCGACCUGCACGAAUGGCGUAAUGAUGGCCAGGCUGUCUCCACCCGAGACUCAGUGAAAUUGAACUCGCUGUGAAGAUGCAGUGUACCCGCGGCAAGACGGAAAGACCCCGUGAACCUUUACUAUAGCUUGACACUGAACAUUGAGCCUUGAUGUGUAGGAUAGGUGGGAGGCUUUGAAGCGUGGACGCCAGUCUGCGUGGAGCCAACCUUGAAAUACCACCCUUUAAUGUUUGAUGUUCUAACGUUGGCCCCUUACCGGGGUUGCGGACAGUGUCUGGUGGGUAGUUUGACUGGGGCGGUCUCCUCCCAAAGCGUAACGGAGGAGCACGAAGGUUAGCUAAUCCUGGUCGGACAUCAGGAGGUUAGUGCAAUGGCAUAAGCUAGCUUGACUGCGAGCGUGACGGCGCGAGCAGGUGCGAAAGCAGGUCAUAGUGAUCCGGUGGUUCUGAAUGGAAGGGCCAUCGCUCAACGGAUAAAAGGUACUCCGGGGAUAACAGGCUGAUACCGCCCAAGAGUUCAUAUCGACGGCGGUGUUUGGCACCUCGAUGUCGGCUCAUCACAUCCUGGGGCUGAAGUAGGUCCCAAGGGUAUGGCUGUUCGCCAUUUAAAGUGGUACGCGAGCUGGGUUUAGAACGUCGUGAGACAGUUCGGUCCCUAUCUGCCGUGGGCGCUGGAGAAUUGAGGGGGGCUGCUCCUAGUACGAGAGGACCGGAGUGGACGCAUCACUGGUGUUCGGGUUGUCAUGCCAAUGGCACUGCCCGGUAGCUAAAUGCGGAAGAGAUAAGUGCUGAAAGCAUCUAAGCACGAAACUUGCCCCGAGAUGAGUUCUCCCUGAGACUUUAAGUCUCCUGAAGGAACGUUAAAGACGAUGACGUUGAUAGGCCGGGUGUGUAAGCGCAGCGAUGCGUUGAGCUAACCGGUACUAAUGAACCGUGAGGCUUAACCUUACAACGCCGAAG